rnacentral:rRNA from 1 species
UUGGAGGGCAAGUCUGGUGCCAGCAGCCGCGGUAAUUCCAGCUCCAAUAGCGUAUAUUAAAGUUGUUGCAGUUAAAAAGCUCGUAGUUGAAUUUCGGGAUCAGAUUGUUGGUCGUGCCUCGGUACGCACUGGCAUUAUUGGUUCCUACCUUCUGAAGAACCGCGAUGUCAUUAAUUUGGUGUCGUGGGGAAUCAGGACUGUUACUUUGAAAAAAUUAGAGUGUUUAAAGCAGGCGCACGCUUGAAUACAUUAGCAUGGAAUAAUGAAAUAGGACGUUUGAUUCUAUUUUGUUGGUUUCUAGGAUCGACGUAAUGAUUAAUAGGGAUAGUUGGGGGCAUUAGUAUUCAAUUGUCAGAGGUGAAAUUCUUGGAUUUAUUGAAGACUAACUACUGCGAAAGCAUUUGCCAAGGAUGUUUUCAUUAAUCAAGAACGAAAGUUAGGGGAUCGAAGACGAUCAGAUACCGUCGUAGUCUUAACCAUAAACUAUGCCGACUAGGAAUCGGACGAUGUUAAUUUUUUAAUGACUCGUUCGGCGCCUUACGGGAAAC